UUAAGCGACUAAGCGUACACGGUGGAUGCCCUGGCAGUCAGAGGCGAUGAAGGACGUGCUAAUCUGCGAUAAGCGUCGGUAAGGUGAUAUGAACCGUUAUAACCGGCGAUUUCCGAAUGGGGAAACCCAGUGUGAUUCGUCACACUAUCAUUAACUGAAUCCAUAGGUUAAUGAGGCGAACCGGGGGAACUGAAACAUCUAAGUACCCCGAGGAAAAGAAAUCAACCGAGAUUCCCCCAGUAGCGGCGAGCGAACGGGGAGCAGCCCAGAGCCUGAAUCAGUGUGUGUGUUAGUGGAAGCGUCUGGAAAGGCGCGCGAUACAGGGUGACAGCCCCGUACACAAAAAUGCACAUGCUGUGAGCUCGAUGAGUAGGGCGGGACACGUGGUAUCCUGUCUGAAUAUGGGGGGACCAUCCUCCAAGGCUAAAUACUCCUGACUGACCGAUAGUGAACCAGUACCGUGAGGGAAAGGCGAAAAGAACCCCGGCGAGGGGAGUGAAAAAGAACCUGAAACCGUGUACGUACAAGCAGUGGGAGCACNGUGUGACUGCGUACCUUUUGUAUAAUGGGUCAGCGACUUAUAUUCUGUAGCAAGGUUAACCGAAUAGGGGAGCCGAAGGGAAACCGAGUCUUAACUGGGCGUUAAGUUGCAGGGUAUAGACCCGAAACCCGGUGAUCUAGCCAUGGGCAGGUUGAAGGUUGGGUAACACUAACUGGAGGACCGAACCGACUAAUGUUGAAAAAUUAGCGGAUGACUUGUGGCUGGGGGUGAAAGGCCAAUCAAACCGGGAGAUAGCUGGUUCUCCCCGAAAGCUAUUUAGGUAGCGCCUCGUGAAUUCAUCUCCGGGGGUAGAGCACUGUUUCGGCAAGGGGGUCAUCCCGACUUACCAACCCGAUGCAAACUGCGAAUACCGGAGAAUGUUAUCACGGGAGACACACGGCGGGUGCUAACGUCCGUCGUGAAGAGGGAAACAACCCAGACCGCCAGCUAAGGUCCCAAAGUCAUGGUUAAGUGGGAAACGAUGUGGGAAGGCCCAGACAGCCAGGAUGUUGGCUUAGAAGCAGCCAUCAUUUAAAGAAAGCGUAAUAGCUCACUGGUCGAGUCGGCCUGCGCGGAAGAUGUAACGGGGCUAAACCAUGCACCGAAGCUGCGGCAGCGACGCUUAUGCGUUGUUGGGUAGGGGAGCGUUCUGUAAGCCUGCGAAGGUGUGCUGUGAGGCAUGCUGGAGGUAUCAGAAGUGCGAAUGCUGACAUAAGUAACGAUAAAGCGGGUGAAAAGCCCGCUCGCCGGAAGACCAAGGGUUCCUGUCCAACGUUAAUCGGGGCAGGGUGAGUCGACCCCUAAGGCGAGGCCGAAAGGCGUAGUCGAUGGGAAACAGGUUAAUAUUCCUGUACUUGGUGUUACUGCGAAGGGGGGACGGAGAAGGCUAUGUUGGCCGGGCGACGGUUGUCCCGGUUUAAGCGUGUAGGCUGGUUUUCCAGGCAAAUCCGGAAAAUCAAGGCUGAGGCGUGAUGACGAGGCACUACGGUGCUGAAGCAACAAAUGCCCUGCUUCCAGGAAAAGCCUCUAAGCAUCAGGUAACAUCAAAUCGUACCCCAAACCGACACAGGUGGUCAGGUAGAGAAUACCAAGGCGCUUGAGAGAACUCGGGUGAAGGAACUAGGCAAAAUGGUGCCGUAACUUCGGGAGAAGGCACGCUGAUAUGUAGGUGAAGUCCCUCGCGGAUGGAGCUGAAAUCAGUCGAAGAUACCAGCUGGCUGCAACUGUUUAUUAAAAACACAGCACUGUGCAAACACGAAAGUGGACGUAUACGGUGUGACGCCUGCCCGGUGCCGGAAGGUUAAUUGAUGGGGUUAGCGCAAGCGAAGCUCUUGAUCGAAGCCCCGGUAAACGGCGGCCGUAACUAUAACGGUCCUAAGGUAGCGAAAUUCCUUGUCGGGUAAGUUCCGACCUGCACGAAUGGCGUAAUGAUGGCCAGGCUGUCUCCACCCGAGACUCAGUGAAAUUGAACUCGCUGUGAAGAUGCAGUGUACCCGCGGCAAGACGGAAAGACCCCGUGAACCUUUACUAUAGCUUGACACUGAACAUUGAGCCUUGAUGUGUAGGAUAGGUGGGAGGCUUUGAAGUGUGGACGCCAGUCUGCAUGGAGCCGACCUUGAAAUACCACCCUUUAAUGUUUGAUGUUCUAACGUGGACCCGUAAUCCGGGUUGCGGACAGUGUCUGGUGGGUAGUUUGACUGGGGCGGUCUCCUCCUAAAGAGUAACGGAGGAGCACGAAGGUUGGCUAAUCCUGGUCGGACAUCAGGAGGUUAGUGCAAUGGCAUAAGCCAGCUUGACUGCGAGCGUGACGGCGCGAGCAGGUGCGAAAGCAGGUCAUAGUGAUCCGGUGGUUCUGAAUGGAAGGGCCAUCGCUCAACGGAUAAAAGGUACUCCGGGGAUAACAGGCUGAUACCGCCCAAGAGUUCAUAUCGACGGCGGUGUUUGGCACCUCGAUGUCGGCUCAUCACAUCCUGGGGCUGAAGUAGGUCCCAAGGGUAUGGCUGUUCGCCAUUUAAAGUGGUACGCGAGCUGGGUUUAGAACGUCGUGAGACAGUUCGGUCCCUAUCUGCCGUGGGCGCUGGAGAAUUGAGGGGGGCUGCUCCUAGUACGAGAGGACCGGAGUGGACGCAUCACUGGUGUUCGGGUUGUCAUGCCAAUGGCACUGCCCGGUAGCUAAAUGCGGAAGAGAUAAGUGCUGAAAGCAUCUAAGCACGAAACUUGCCCCGAGAUGAGUUCUCCCUGACUCCUUGAGAGUCCUGAAGGAACGUUGAAGACGACGACGUUGAUAGGCCGGGUGUGUAAGCGCAGCGAUGCGUUGAGCUAACCGGUACUAAUGAACCGUGAGGCUUAACCUU
rnacentral:rRNA from 1 species